UACGUAGGGUGCGAGCGUUGUCCGGAAUUACUGGGCGUAAAGCGUGCGCAGGCGGUUAUGCAAGACAGAUGUGAAAUCCCCGGGCUCAACCUGGGAACUGCAUUUGUGACUGCAUGGCUAGAGUGCGGCAGAGGGGGAUGGAAUUCCGCGUGUAGCAGUGAAAUGCGUAGAUAUGCGGAGGAACACCGAUGGCGAAGGCAAUCCCCUGGGCCUGCACUGACGCUCAUGCACGAAAGCGUGGGGAGCAAACAGG
rnacentral:rRNA from 1 species